CAGAUGGCAGAACAAUACUGUAAACAACGCAUCGAGCGGAGAGUGCACACGGUGGGAGAUACUUCGCAGCCAGUUGCGACACUUGACGAGCAUUUGUCUUAAACUCCUUUACAAUAAAGAGGAGAAGUCUAGCAUUUGAUUGUCUAAUAUUUUCGACGCCACCGUCGUAAAGAAGGAACUUUUUUUUUUAAGUCGACUUUAAAAGAGAAGAUGAUUAUCCCUAUUCGCUGUUUUACCUGUGGAAAGGUCAUUGGUAACAAGUGGGAAAUCUAUUUGGGCUACUUAUCUGCUGAAUAUACAGAAGGUGAUGCCCUAGAUGCUCUUGGCCUUAAGAGAUAUUGCUGCCGUAGGAUGUUAUUGGGACAUGUGGACCUCAUUGAGAAGCUGCUUAACUAUGCUCCACUUGAGAAAUAACCUUCAUAACAGAUUAAAUGACUUCAGUUUGAUUUAAGAAGAAGUGAAAAGGAGAUUGAUUUGGGUGGCCUGAAAUCAAGAUGUUCCAGUGAAAGCAGCGAACAAGCAAGGAUGAAGAUUUUGUAAUAAAAUUGAAAAGUGAUA